UACGUAGGGUGCAAGCGUUGUCCGGAAUUAUUGGGCGUAAAGAGCUCGUCGGCGGUUUGUCGCGUCGAAUGUGAAAACCCGGGGCUCAACCCCGGGCCUGCAUUCGAUACGGGCAGACUAGAGUUCGGUAGGGGAGUCUGGAAUUCCUGGUGUAGCGGUGAAAUGCGCAGAUAUCAGGAGGAACACCGAUGGCGAAGGCAGGUCUCUGGGCCACUACUGACGCUGAGAAGCGAAAGCAUGGGGAGCGAACAGG
rnacentral:rRNA from 1 species